UGCCGUCCAGGGAUGAUAAUGAAGAGCAGGAUGACGAAGAUGAAGAUACCCUCGAUGAUUCCAUUGAGAGGAUACUGUUCUCCGUCGUACUUUUGCUGAACGAUUUCUCCUGCACAAGUAAUCAAAUCGAGGCACUCUCGUUGGAAGAACAAAGGCUGAAGCAAAACAGAAGCAGAGG